rnacentral:lncRNA from 1 species
GUAGGUCAUGUUUAAAGAUAAUGGGGUUACUAGAUACAAGGAUGCUGAACCUCUAAAUCAGUUUUUGUGUAAGAACUUCUCAGGAACAUUCACACUGGACUUUGCAUGAGUGAAAGUAACACAAAGAGUUUGCUAUUACAAUUACACCCCCUAAUAGAGAAACCAGUAUCUUGAAGUGAGAUGCAGAUACAACAAAAAUUAGAAUAUGUGACAUUAGCUUAGGAGUGGGCAGCUCUAUUGAGUAGCAGAAUAAAGCAUGUUGAUUAAUUGGUGAUUACAAUGAAAAGGCAUCUAAAAACUCUCCACCUCUGGUAGCUUGGAAGGCAGAGAUUGUAGUUCUAGAGAUGUUUGGAAAGUAGAUAUGAGUAGCAUAUGUUAUUAUUACUGAUGGUUUCAGCAAAGUAUUACAAGCAAGACAUAAGCUAAGGAACUAACUGGCAGGUUUAAAGUAGAAUUGAAAGGGAAUAGAAAAGGUUAGAAAAAUAAGUAAGACAUGGUAUUUGAAAGACUUUGAAGAACCAAGACCCAGUGAGAUUUCUGAGCUGCACGGUGACUCAGAAUUGUGCCAAAGAUCAAAUGAAGGACAUGCUCUGUCAGCUCAGGCUUGACAGGCUCAAGAUGAUCCGACUUUUGGUUGAGACAGAGAGAGGAAUGAUAGCAAAGUAGAAAAGAAAUGGAGCAUGUUUGAGAACAAAGUCUGGCAGUUUGGGCUCCUUGUGAGCCAUGAUUCUGACUGGAAGCUUCUUGUACUUGAAAUAGUUUGCCAAGUUUUUAAAAUAAUUAUGCUGCCAAAUAGCCACAAAUCCAUGUUAAAAAGUCUUUGACUCUGCAAUUCAUGGAACAACCUUUAGACACCUGUAUUUCCAUGAGUAUGAGGUGGGUGCUGUAAGUUGAGCAGCAAAGAAAGACUUCUAUAUAUGGGCCUGAGAAGACAAUUGUCAUUAUUCAAAUAUCCCACAACAUAAACCAGAUGCUGUGACUGGAUGGGAUUUGGGGUAUUCAAUUGGGGAAGGUGAGCAUAUGGAGAUAGUAUGAAAGGACUAUUUGGUGAUCAGAAAGUAGAUUAUUUAAAAAAAUACACCUAUAUGCUAAUCAAACUGUUUCCAUUUUCCCCUGGAUGCAUAGCUAAAGCUACAUUGUUCGGUCACCAUUUAAGAUAGUUUGGGAUCAUAUGAUUAAUUUUGGUCCAUAAAAUCUCCUGCCUGACCCUCUACACUUACUCACUUAUUGAAGAGGGAGAUGGAGGCGUUAGUGGAUGAUAGGCACAGUUUAUAGGCAAACCACUCAGGAAGGGAUGAGCAACAGAUACAUUUUAAUUACAUUGAACCACUGAGACCUCUGGAUUUUUUUGAUUGUUUUGUUAUUGUUAUUGCAUAAGUUAGCAUUAAUAACCUUGACUAUAGAGAUAAUUUUUAGCAAAAAUAAUUCCAUUUUAUACCAAAAUUAAAAUAUUGUUUUAAAGAAAAAUAUAUAGUAUAUUUUAGAUACACAAAUACAUAUUUUAUUUAUUUAAUUUUAAUUUUAUUUUAUUUUAUUUUUUGCUUUUUUAGGGCCACACCCACAGCAUAUGGAAGUUCCCAGGCUAGGGCUCAGAUCAGAGCUAUAGCUGCCAGCCUACACCACAGCCACAGCAAAGCAAGAUCUGAGCCACAUCUGCAACCUACACCACGGCUCAUGGCAAUGCUGGAUCCUUAACCCAUUGAGCAAGGCUAGGGAUUGAACCAGCAUCCUUAUGGAUAACUGAUUGGGUUCAUUACUGCUGAACCACAACGGGAACUCCAUAGAAACAUAUGUUUUAGAUAUAUGAAUGUAUAACAAUUAUUUUAACUUACUAUGAAGAGGAUGAACCUUGGUAAUAUUUUUUGAAAGACAUCAACAUUCAUAAUUUUUAGGUGGCUACUAUUUAAAACAAACAAACAAACAAACAAACUCCUAUUACUCUUGUUUCAGCAAGACAUCAGAAGAUCUAGUCUAUUUGGCAAACACUGAUUGUUACUGGGGCCUAAUCUUCCCCACAAUUCAAGGAACACAAAAUAACAUGUGGAUUUUGGACAUGUGAUUUUAGGUAACUGUCAAGAAGUAAUUAAUGACGACUUCAGAAGAAGCUGUCAUGGGGUAUCUAUGAUGUCUUUAAAUGAAUAACAGUUUAUCCUGCUCAUAUUGUUUUCCACAAAGACUGCUGUUCCAUUCUAUUUGAACUUAAUUGGUAUAAUUGAUAACAGUUAGAGCUUGGAGUGCCAUUUUAAUCAUGUAGGUACAGCUUUCCUGUCAGAAAAAAUAAAAUAGCUGCUGUGAGUUAUCUGUUAUUACUGGAGAGACGGAAAGGUAAAAUAAAUGACUUUUUUAUUUUAGGCUGAGACUCUGGGACUUCUGGAUCACAACUGGAAAUUUAUUAAUGAUAUUAAAAAGUUUGGGCUCAUCUCCAAGCAAUUAAUAAAAACUAGUUGGUAUAUAAUUUAGCAUAAAGAAAAAGGUGAGAAAAUGAGUUAGAUACAGGUUAGUGAUACACACAAAUGAUCCAAGAAGAACGUAUUUGAAAAUGUUCCAACCAUUAGGGUAACCCCUAGUAAAUUAGAUUUUGAUGACAAACUUGUGCUCUCACUACCUGAAUAUUUAAUUUUUAGUUUGAGGUGAAGACGGAAAAUGGUCUUAAGUAUAAAUAUGAUUACUCCCAUUCUCAGUAAUUUGAGUGGUUUGUGCAAAAGCGCAUGUGAGGGGGAGGGAGGGGGCUGCACACUGAAAAUAGAUACUGCAACGUUACCACUGAAUAUUUAAUUAUUGAGCGAUAAUAAGCUGGUUCUUCUAAAAGAGCACUGUGCCUUUCACUUUUAUCAGCAUUCUUCGGCAUGUUCUCUUCAACUCUACAAACUCUAGAUCUCAGGGUUUUCCUCAGGGGAUUGAGGAUGUUUUACUUUCUCUUCGCACUGUGGAAUUUUGAAUUCUAGCUUCUGUGGCAUUUCCUAUUCCUUGUUUCAUUGGUUUUUGUUACUGUUCUUUCUUUUUUUUUUUUUAAUUCGGGAAACAGUCUUACUCCAUCAACCAGAUUUUUAACAGUUGGAUCACUUUCCAUUAUUAGUUCAGCACAUAAAAGGCUAAGCAAUCCACAGCCCGGGUACUGUCUCACUUUUCUUCGUUCACGCUGCUCUAACUCCUGGUAAGAGCAUCUCCCACCACGCCGGGUUAACUCUACCCAGGUAGAAAGAGACCAAAAACACUCCAGGACCUAGGAUUUUGCCUGGCAUGGGGUACUUCAGACACAAAAAUAAAUAAAUAAAAAUAAAUAAACUGUAACUAUUACACAACCCAAAUGUAGCUAAGAUUUCUCUGGAAGUUCUUUUACUUAGCUUAAUCAAUAGCUAGGCAAAUCCCUACUCUACGCGAUAUUUUCCUGGGGCUUCCUGUCCCACCCCUCCCCUGGCUCAUCUCUGAUUCAGAUCCCCUGAAGUUUAUCUGUACUCUGCUAUCCUCUUUCCUUUCGCACAGAGGGGAAAAAAGGAAGUGUUCACACUCACGAAGGCUGCUUUUUUCUCACUAACUCCUUGUUUUUACCAUUUCCCAUCCCGGAAUUUUGCUUCCAAAUUUAUUCUCUUCCUGUCUAGCACAAUCUGCCUCUUCAACUACACUCAUGAUGCUCUGCCUGCAAAGACUCACAGAGCUUGACGACUCUGAAAAACAAAACCAGAGGAGCAAGAGGUAUUUAAUUUUGUUCUACUGCACUUCCUGCCAGUCUUUCUCCUUUGUGCAAUGGUACAACACCUUUACACAGAAUGAUUGCAACCAUUCACCGUGUUAUUUCUGUCCCUUCCUUGCUCAAUUCUAUGUACUGACUUCUAAACCCAUCACUCUCAUGAAAUCACCCUCUCCAAAUUUCUAGUGAUUUCCUAAUUAUAAAAUCCCAUGAUCAUUUCUGUAUUCUUCUUUUUAAGGCAUACUCCUGGAUUUGAUGGUUUUUAAAUUUUUUUUUAAUUUAAUUUAAUCUUAUUUUAUGACUACACUCACAGCUUAUGUAAGUUCCCAGGCCACAGGUUGAAACCCAGCUGCAACGGCAACUUGAGCUGCAGCUGUGUCAAUGCUGAAUCCUUUAACCCACUGAGCUGGGCCAGGGAUCGAACCCGUAGCUUUGCAGCGAUCCGAGCCAUUGCCAUCGGAUUCUUAAUCCACAGUGCCACAGCAAGAGCUCCUGAAAUUUUUUUUUUUUUUAAUCUUCACCUACUUAUCCAAACCUACUCUCAUUCUAUAGGAGGCAUGACCUGUCUUGAUUCAUUACCUUUGCCUUAACUUUUUUUUUUCCCCCUGUGUCCUCCUUGGCUGGCUCCUCUUUCCUCCAUAUCACUUUGAUUUCAGAAAACACUGUUUUGGUCUUUUGCUAUUACACUCCUCAUUUUGUAUUCUUGUUCCCAGGAGUUCAUGGAUUAUUUUCAUUUCAAGUAAGUACACUUCAAAACAAGCAUCAUUAUUUCUGUUCUCACAUCAGGACACUGGAGACAUGUUACCAAUUUCUAAUUCAAUUGUCCUUUAUGAAGAUGGCACAUUUACAAAAUACAGAUACAACUUUCCCCUCAACCUCACACCAGCUUACACCACCAUGCUAAUCAUUUCCCAGGCUCAAGAGUGUUUUUUGUUUUUGUUUUUCCUUUCUUUAGGCUGAACCUGAGAAAUAUGUAAGUCCCCAGGCUAGGGGACGAAUAGGAGCUGCAGCUGCUGGCCUACACCAAAGCCACAACAACUCCAUAUCUGAGCCACAUCUGUGACCAACACCACAACUCAUACCACAGCCUACAGAAAUGCCCGAUCCUUAACCCACUGAGCAGGGCCAAGGAUCGAACCUGCCUCCUCAGGGAUAUUAGUUGGGUUUGUUACUGCUAAGCCAAAGUGGAAACUCUCAAAAGUGUUUUUAACUCAUUCCUUUAUUUACCCUAUUGGGUGAGAUGACAAAUUCUCAAAUUUCUACUUCAAAAAUUUGUUUGCUUAGGGUAGUUGAGGAAUAGGUCCAGAAUGGGAUGGAAAGUUGAACCUGAAGAGCCUCCUACCCCCCAAAAGAUAGACAUAAUAUUCUUGAAUGCAAAAGUGGCUUCGGGGGGACACUGUGAUGAUCUGAAUGCAAUCUUUGCAAGACAAUGGGAAAUAUUUUAGAACUGAUUUCUUACCUCUGGUUUAUAGUUAGUCACAUGUUGGGAAGAAAUGUUAAUAUGCUCUAUUCUCCACUUUUCUAAAGGCUAUGACUCUUUCACCUUUAGUAUCAAUCAGAGUAGAUCCUUUGACUUCUGUUUUACAAAUCAACAGUUUUUAUUUAUAAGAACUCCUUUAAUUUAUUGCCUCCAAGACUGCAAACUUGGCUGCAUAUGCCCCAUUCUUUUCCUUUCCUUUUCUGUUUUUCUUCACCACUAAGGCAAACUUUUACCUGCCUUUUAAAGAUUCAGAGUCUCUACCUUGCCAUACUUUACCAAUUCAUCCUGGGCAGGAUUUUAAUAAACUCUAGCUUGUACAAAUAAAAACAAAUAAACAAACCAAAAGAAAUCUCUCCCCAGAUACCACACUUUUCUCUCUAUUUCCUUUCUUUCUUUCUUUUUUUUUUUUUUUUUUUUGGUUUUUAGGGUUGCACCCAUGGCACUGGAGGUUCCCAGGCUAGGGAUCAAAUCAGAGCUACAGCUGCCGGUCUACACCAGAGUUCAUGGCAACGCCAGAUCCUUAACCCACUGAGCGAGGCCAGGAAUCAAACACUCAAACUCAUGUUUCCUAGUCAGAUUUGUUUCUGCUGUGCCAUGACGGGAACUCCUCUAUUUCCUUUCAUUUGAUAAAUUUUGAUAAGAUUAAUACAUAUUCACAUUUCAACUUAGACGUUUUUUUCCUAUUUAUGUUUUCUCCUCCGUUUAGGGCUCUUCUUUUCAAUCUUCCAGAGGUUUUUCUUCUGCCUGUCUACUCAUAGACAGUGUUAUCAUUGGUUCUACCGGGAGCCCAUUUCUUUCCUCUGUCACCACCCCCUGGCUAAUCUUGUCCAUUCCUACAUUCAGAUGUAGACUAUUUCUUUCAAUAAAUGUGUAUUGAGGGAGUUCCUGUUGUGGUUCAGUGGUAAGGAAUCCAACUAGUAUCCAUGAGGAUGUGAGUUGGAUUCCUGGCCUCGAUCGGUGGGUUAAGUAUCCGACCUUGAUCUGAACUGUGGUACAGGUUGCAGCCCAUGUUGCUGUGGCUGGGGGGUAGUCUGGCAGCUGUAGCUCCAACUCGACC